AGCUUUGUGCAGUGGCAGUAUUGUAGCCAAUGAGGUUUACUGAGGCGCGAUUAUUGCUAAUUAAAAUAAAGGGGGAAAAUAAGAUGCUGUUAGAAGAUCCUGUCUGGAGGAGGUCAAAAUCUCAAGAUUCUGAAUUUAUUUUAAUCAUUUUCCUCAUUUUUCUUAGGAUGA
rnacentral:snRNA from 1 species